rnacentral:rRNA from 1 species
UGGGGAAUCUUGGACAAUGGGCGCAAGCCUGAUCCAGCCAUGCCGCGUGAGUGACGAAGGCCUUAGGGUUGUAAAACUCUUUCGUGGGGGACGAUAAUGACGGUACCCCAAGAAGAAGCUCCGGCUAACUUCGUGCCAGCAGCCGCGGUAAUACGAAGGGGGCUAGCGUUGUUCGGAUUUACUGGGCGUAAAGCGCGUGUAGGCGGGUCGUUAAGUUGGGGGUGAAAUCCCGAGGCUCAACCUCGGAACUGCCUUCAAAACUGGCGGCCUGGAGCAGAUGAGAGGCGAGUGGAAUUCCGAGUGUAGAGGUGAAAUUCGUAGAUAUUCGGAGGAACACCAGUGGCGAAGGCGACUCGCUGGCAUCUUGCUGACGCUGAGACGCGAAAGCGUGGGGAGCAAACAGGAUUAGAUACCCCCGUAGUCC